rnacentral:lncRNA from 1 species
AUGGGAAAGGGAAACGAAGACCCCUAUCUCCACUGCUCCUCCAUCCAAUGUUCCACUGACCAGCCCCCUUUCCAACAGAUCUCCUUUACAGGAAAGGGCUCAGAUGAGAAGAAACCGUUCAAAGGAAAAGGCAAGACCGCCUCUUCCCAUUCCAGUGAGAAGCACAUACAAAGGCAAGGAUUAGAGCCAAAUCCAAAAAUCCAAAAGAGGAGGAGAAGUCCCAGGAGACCAAGCCCAAAGCCAGAAACAGCACUGCUAGAUUAGAACCAGAGUCCAGCUCAUAUUGGGGAAACUUCACGAAAAGAAAAAUCAGUUCCAAGGACAGCUGCCAAGACAGAGCAGGGAACUGUCCAGAAGAGGAACGCAGCUUGAUGUUAAAAAAAAAAAAAAAAUCAAAGUCCUCCACUGCUGUGCACUACAGUGAAAUCCAGGAGAUCUGUGAUGCCCACCAUAAGGGACAUUCGAGGGCUUGCACUGGGCACAGCCAGUGGCACAGGUCUGGGGCCCUAGGAUUCCAAUGACCGGCACUUGGAAAAAGCUUGGUGACCUCUGUUGGAGCUAUGCUGGAGGCUACUUAUCAAGACCUAGCCCAGGUGUGGGCACAGCAGGUCCAUUUUCCACUGACCUGAGAGCAGCUCACAUUGCUGACUUGGAUCUGGGGGCCUCUGUGUGCCCAGGUGCAGACCUUCUAUGCCAUUGCCACCCAGGGAGCUUAAGUCUUACCUGCUGAGGGUUGGCUUGUCUCAGCCACACUGUCUGGUCCUGGGGAUAGAGGCCUGAAUAGAGAAGCUCACCCUUUUUUGGGCAUGAUGUAACUGAGCAUGUCAGUGGAUCAGAUGAGGCUUGAGCUGA